rnacentral:rRNA from 1 species
GACGAACGCUGGCGGCGUGCUUAACACAUGCAAGUCGAACGGAAAGGCCCUGCUUUUGUGGGGUGCUCGAGUGGCGAACGGGUGAGUAACACGUGAGUAACCUGCCCUUGACUUUGGGAUAACUUCAGGAAACUGGGGCUAAUACCGGAUAGGAGCUCCUGCUGCAUGGUGGGGGUUGGAAAGUUUCGGCGGUUGGGGAUGGACUCGCGGCUUAUCAGCUUGUUGGUGGGGUAGUGGCUUACCAAGGCUUUGACGGGUAGCUGGCCUGAGAGGGUGACCGGCCACAUUGGGACUGAGAUACGGCCCAGACUCCUACGGGCGGCAGCAGUGGGGAAUAUUGCACAAUGGGCGGAAGCCUGAUGCAGCAACGCCGCGUGCGGGAUGACGGCCUUCGGGUUGUAAACCGCUUUCGCCUGUGACGAAGCGUGAGUGACGGUAAUGGGUAAAGAAGCACCGGCUAACUACGUG